rnacentral:rRNA from 1 species
UACGUAGGGUGCGAGCGUUGUCCGGAAUUAUUGGGCGUAAAGAGCUCGUAGGCGGUUUGUCGCGUCGGCCGUGAAAACUUGGGGCUUAACCCCAAGCCUGCGGUCGAUACGGGCAGACUUGAGUUCGGCAGGGGAGACGUGGAAUUCCUGGUGUAGCGGUGAAAUGCGCAGAUAUCAGGAGGAACACCGGUGGCGAAGGCGGGUCUCUGGGCCGAUACUGACGCUGAGGAGCGAAAGCGUGGGGAGCGAACAGG